UUCACUGGAGUCCUUUUGGUUUAUACUUCCUUAGUGUUCCUUAUGUAUUUUUCAAAUUCCAACCGUUCAAUAAAAGCUAUCAACCAUUAAUUCCAUACCUUGGCUUUUGGUGGAAUAAUACUUCACUGUUUUUCACUUGUACGAUAAAUUUCCUCACUUAGUUUUCAAUCAAGUCAUUUUUCUAAGGCCAAACAAAGGGACUACAAUGAAUAAGGUGCUGAUAGUUUCAGGUGGAUAACAGAGAUGUCUGUAUUGAAAUGGGAGGCUAUUGCUUCUGUUCUUCUAGGGGAGAGUAGGAGGGAACCAGUCACCAGCAUCUUUAAAAUGCGAAGUUUUCUUUAAAAUGACGUUGCACCAUUUCAAGCUCCCAUUAUAAGGACUGCAACGUGUAAUUGGAGAUGAUUUGAGUGAAAUUAUCUUUGUGAAAAUAAAUUGGUUCACACUAGAUUAAACCCAUUUUAUUACGGGACAAUAAAUUCAUUGAGAGGGAGAGAGAGUAUGCCGUUGAUCAACAGAGGAAGGAAUCUGAUCAUGGGAUUUCACGGUCGCCGAAAUUUAUCUCAGUGCCAUAGUAACAGACAUUGCAAUUCCUGUUAAGCAACUAUUGGAAGAAAGGCCUGGUUUCCGCCUUUUGGCUGAGUUCCCUCCUGAAGGAAGUUUCAUCGAUAUUAAACAAAUGGUUGGCAGUGAAGCAUAUAAUUAUUUUGAGCUCACACAUCUGCCAAGCAGUCACAUCAGAUGGAAAUAGGACACUUCUCUCAAGUUCAGCAGAAAGUAGUUAUAAUAGCGAUCAGGGUAGUGGCAAUGAGGAUGGCCGAGAAGCCAGCUACAUAAUUUAUGAGGCGAGUUCAGAUGAAGUGGACUUUUUGGUUGGCUGAAAGAAGAACCUAGUAAGCAAGAACCGGAGUUUCAAGGUCGAUUUUGCGCUCUCUCUCUCUCUCUCUCUCUCUGUGUAUGUGUGUGUAGGUGUACUAUAUCAGGUGAUUACAAGAAAUUUAGGUUCGGGUUGGUUUCCCCAAGCUUUUCAUUCGUUGGUUUGUUAUUGCAUGGCUUCACUUAUUAUGGGUUGCAUGAUUGGUUUUUCCUCGUGUGACUUUUUCAUAUGAACUAUAAAGCCAUAGCAAUGUUCUCCUCAAAACCAAUGCAGCGAUGGUGCUGCAUUUGGACAUUAAGGGAACAAUGUUGGUGUUUGUUUACAUUCUUAAACUUGUCCAAUGAUCCUUUACGGACGAACUGAGCUUGGAAUCCCCUGGCAUAUUUAUGAUCAUCUCCCUUUACACUUGUUACCAUGGCUUUCUCACGCUUCACACUUGUUUUAUUGAGUUCAUCUGGUCCUUGGUUUAGUGGUGGAGAUUUCUUGCAUAUUAACCAACUCAUCUCCUGCGCACCAGGUUAUUGUACCCUUUUGCCUCUGUACCUUCAUUCGCAUGCAAUUUCAGCUGGAGGAUCGCACAAAAGUCUCUCAUGGUUGAAAUUACAUAGGAACAUAGGUAAAGAUGCAUUUUUGGUACAGGUUAUUUGAGCUCCAUUUCCUAGGUUAUUAUCUCCAUUGUGUAUCAAAGUCACAGGAAACUCAAGAAGUAUGAUUCGAUGAUUCUUUAAAAGCUAUGGCUUAUACUGUUUUUUUCUUCUUUGAUUUUUUUAGGAGGAAACCAUUUUGAAAUUCUAAUAAUUGAAAUUCUAGACCUAGAUAUCAUCACCCCAUGAGAGAGCUGGUAUCUCUAAAUUUCAUUUUGUCAGUAACACGAGACCUGCUCAUGAGUGACCCUAUCUGGAGUUAACGGCAUAAAUGUGGUAAUUGGAUGUUUGAAAAUUUUGCUGCGCCUACCACUUUUUUAUAUUUAAAAGUAUUAAAGCAGCAUAUCAUUGGAUUGAAAGAAAGUCUUGGAUCUCUUCCAACCAUGAGAUGGGGAAUUCCUUCCUGUAGGAGCAUCCCUAAUAGCUUCAUGAAUCUUAUUUUGUUUUACCUUUUAGUAUGAAGAAGGCAUUGUUUUGUUAGUUGCUUUGAAUGUCGGCCCUUAUGUGUUAAUUCGGGCCGACAUCAGGUAUUUUUUUUUACUGCAAAUCUCUUAUAUUUGUGGAGUAUGUACAAAACCUGCAACUUAAGAAGUUUGAGUGGAUAAUUUUAUAAACUAUGGCUAAUGCUCUCUUUGUUUUUGGUUGCAAAUAUCCCUGAUUAUUGGUGAAUAUAGGGAUUCUCGGUCUCUAUUGAGCCAAUGACUCAUGACCUUUUAGGGAAAGAAAAAACUUUUGGUCUACAAUUCCCUUUUUUUUUUUUUUGGGUUGUUUUAGACGUGCUAGAACAUCAGUCUAGUAGGUUCAAGUUGAGUUAAGAAUAAGAACAACUAAAAGCUGAUAAAUGUGUUGUUGAGAGACCUAGUGAAGAUUUAGGGAUGGGUAAUAAACACAACAUUUUCUGGCUUAGACGUUUGUUGUCCUUGUUUGACUCACUCUCUCUAAUACACAACACUUCAAGUCUGAUGCCUGGAACACUUUUUGCUUUUACCACCUACCAGUGGAUGAAUGCGUGCACCCCAGUUACAAAUGCCCAACUCAUGCAUAAAUGUACAAGAGAGGAUUCUUAUGAAAUUGAGAGAGAGAGAGAGAGAGAGAGAGAGAGAGAGAGAGAGAGAGAGAGAGAGAGAGAGUAUCUCAUUAUUUGCAUUAUUUAAGCCAUUGACUGCUGCAUUUUAUCUUGCUAGUUUGGCGUUCCUGAAAUGCACUAAUGUGGUAUAUUACAGGAAAAAGUUUUUCUUUUACGUGUUUGUUGUUCAGUCUGCAGCACAAGGAUGUACAAUUCAGUGAUGUUUCUAUCAUUCCGUGGACACCUUCCAACGUGAAAUUUGGCCAAAUAAGAGGAAACCUUUGGAGGCGACACGCAGAGAAGGUCCUUGAGCGUUCUAUAAGUGCUGGUAUCAGAUGUCCACAGCUCAAUUACCAAGGUGCUGCCACCCAAGAUUAAACUACAUCGAAGGAUCAGUUUAUUCGCACUGAGGUGUUUGUGUUUAGUAGCCCACAACAAGCAAGAUUUGUCAAUCUGCUCCACGAGGAAAUGUGUAAUCUUGGAAGAAAACCCAGGUUUCUAGUAAGGGUUUUUAAGCCCGAGAGCUGCUAUUGUUAUUAACAUCUAUACUGAAAAGCGGUAAUCAAUUGUAAAUGAUUUGAAGUUUUGCAAGGAGAUUAUCCUUGGUUCACUUUUUUUCUUCCCUUGGUUAACUUCGUUGUAGUUGAUCCAUUUCAGUCAUGUGAAAAUCUAUAAUGACCAAAAGCUGGUGUCGUAUUUCUACCAUUCCACCUUGAAUGUAAUCUAUUGU